CAAGGCUUGACAUACACCGGACCGGGCCAGAGAUGGUCUUUCCCCCUUGUGGGGCUGGUGUACAGGUGGUGCAUGGUUGUCGUCAGCUCGUGUCGUGAGAUGUUGGGUUAAGUCCCGCAACGAGCGCAACCCUCGUUCUAUGUUGCCAGCACGUGAUGGUGGGGACUCAUAGGAGACUGCCGGGGUCAACUCGGAGGAAGGUGGGGAUGACGUCAAAUCAUCACGCCCCUUAUGUCUUGGGCUUCACGCAUGCUACAAUGGCCAGUACAAUGGGUUGCGAUGCCGCGAGGUGGAGCUAAUCCCAAAAAGCUGGUCUCAGUUCGGAUCGUGGUCUGCAACUCGACCACGUGAAGUUGGAGUCGCUAGUAAUCGCAGAUCAGC
rnacentral:rRNA from 1 species